rnacentral:rRNA from 1 species
ACAGUCACACAUUAGAUACCCGCGUAGUCCCAGCCGUAAACUAUGCGCGUUAGGUGUAUCGGUGACCACGAGUCACCGAGGUGCCGAAGGGAAACCGUGAAACGUGCCGCCUGGGAAGUACGGUCGCAAGGCUGAAACUUAAAGGAAUUGGCGGGGAGCACCACAACGGGUGGAGCCUGCGGUUUAAUUGGACUCAACGCCGGGAAGCUCACCGGAUAAGACAGCGGAAUGAUUGCCGGGCUGAAGACUCUGCAUGACUAGCUG